rnacentral:misc_RNA from 1 species
UGAGGGCUCGCGCUACACUGU